CAGGGUCUGAGCCCACGCCAGAGAUGAGGUCAGAGCAGCCUGCUGGACACAAACACUGACACACAGCCACAUGUAUGUGUGCCAUGAAACCCAGCAGAUUACCGUCACCUGUGGUUCCGCUGCCUGAAAGCGCAGCCUGUCAGCCACCAAUUACAGCUCCCCGGCUGCCCAUAAACCUCCCAGCAUGAAAGGAAAGGUGUGCCGGCUACCCUGGCGACUGUGGAGCCUGCAGAAACAUGGCUACCAGAGGAAACAUAGCGGUGCAGCAAACACAUCAAUC